UGCCCUGUUCUCCACAGGGAAAAACAAAACACUCAAGAAAAGGGAAACCUGCUGAGAGGGGGAUCAAGGGAAUGCAUGUCAUGAAGGCUAAAAAAAAAAAAAGGUAGACAAGUGGUGCUAUUAAUAGAUAAUUUGUGGCAGGUAAGUCAUGAUAACCUUUCUCUGUAUUGUUCUAAGGUUGCAGGCAAGCCUAGGCGUGCCUUGCCGAGAGCUGAGAGGGAAUGCUUAAUUCGUGGGAGUACAUAAAUUUGCAAGUAAACCUUUGGCAUAAGAGAGUGCUCAUUUAAAUGACAGCUAAAACUCCAAAAUCAUGAAGAAAAGACCUGAACUGCAAAAUAACGCAAAGGGAACCUAAACAUGGAGACAGGGUAAAGAAAUGGCCAAAGCAAUCUGCAGCACCUUGCUCUACUCCUGUGUCUUGGUUUUUGAGGAGUGCCUCAGAGUUAAAGCCCUACCUGUUCUAAACAGAGGUUUCCUGUUCUCAGGAAGUUAACAAUUACAAGCAGAGGGCAGACGAAAUGGGCUGGCAACUGAGCACAGCACUGAUAAGGUGACACUGCUGCUCCCUGAGGAGGAAAGUGUAGCUGCUGAACUUGGGAAGCACCCAGAGGCUGGCACUCAACAUGGAGUGGCUGCUCCCAACGUGGGAGACAUUUUCUGGACCUGGUACACAGAUGGAGGAACACUGGGGAAAUCUAGGGUGGCCAGCAGCACAGCUCCAUCCAGCCCAACAGCUUGCGAGCACAUGUGACACUGUUGCUUCAGCAAUGGGUUGUGGCUUGACGUGAGCGGAUGUGUCACUGGAAUCGGGAGCACCUUCCCCGAGCCAGGAGUCCCCAGGGCCCAGGUUUGAUGCUUCCUGGUUGCAGUAGCAUUUCAGCAGAAGAUCUGGAGGAGACCUGGCCAUACAUCUUCAUCAGAUAUAGCUUUUGUCACUGAUGUGUUCCAUGGUCUGGGCUUUGAGAUGAAGUUUCUACGGGCUCAGAGAGAGGUGGAUGCUUCUGAGGCGGUGAAGCCUGCCCUGGUGUCACAAAAGUGUGACAUAAAGGCAACACUUAUUUUGGAAAAGAAUAUAGGCAGAUCCAGAGGGGCUACUGCAGAGGCUUUGAAAACUUUCCAUUCCCAAUAAAGAGCCUGCAUCUGAGCACAUGGGGCUAUUAGGAAUAUGUUUAGACUCAUCCCUAAGCAACGUGUCGAAACCACCUCCCCAGGAAAUACUGGUACAGCACUGAUCUCCUCUGACAGGAGCUACAUCCCCUUCUCUGGAGCAGAAGGACUAGCAACUACCUGCUGCUAAAAAACAGGUGGGAGGGGAAAAAUAAUUGCUGUGAGCUGUAGAAGAUCUUUAUCACAGUAAAACAGCAGGAACCUGAAGUAUGAAUUGAGAAUGCUUUCAACAGUGGCCUGAAUGCUGGACGUGAGGACACCUCUCCAGCUGUGGGUUUGACUGGGUGUCUGGGCUUUUGGAAAUCCUACCUGGACAUGCCAGCAGUGCAAGAUCUACAGUCUUGCCCUACCUACUCAUCCUUUUGGUCCAUAAUUUAGUAUCUUGUGCUGAGCUUUCGGAGCAAAAUGCCCUGUAGAUAUUAAUCUGUUGGAGAAUGAGUCCUCAGCACUUGACAAAGUACUCCUCUGGAUGAUAAAAGAGAUGGUAAGGAAACUGAAACAUUGCUGCUAGCUGAUCCCAGAGCUGUUUGGCUUGUGGUUUCACUGGAUAGGAGUUUCAGUCCUCACUAUUCCCUUAGAGGGAGCAGACCUUGCAAUAUACACAAGAUGCGUAAGAAAACUUGCUUGUGAUUCACAGAGAAACCGAAUGUUGAUGGGAAGGAACAUUUGCAAGCAGUUUCUGUAGAGCUCCUAGCAAAGAAUGGGCAACACUGAUACAAAAUCAUAUGUCAGGCUAGAAAACACCCUACAAAAAGAGGCUUUUUCCCAAAAAACAAGCCAAAAUAUCCCACCUUUCUUGUUCACUUCCUUAUUUGCAGCUUUUUUUUCCAAAAAUAGUAUUACAAAACAUUAUCAUCCAAAGCUUUCAGGAACUAUUGCCUAUUUUUACUCCAUCUUGUUUUGUAAGACCACACUACAUUAGUGAUUUGGCAACUUCACACCAUGGACAAGUAUUUCAAAAUAUUCCCUUCUCUGAACACACAGCUGUUAAACCACUUUUACAUGUAUUGCUGCAUUUUGUGAUGCCGCCCACAGUCACUCUUAGGAAAGGAUUUGGGAAACUUGAUGUUUUAAAAUCAGAGCUGCACAUACCCCAUGGGUUUGGUUUUAAUGCAAAAGUCUCUCAGCUAAGCUGCUUCUGGGAUUUGCUGAUGGGGCAAUUUUAUGGAAACAGGGAGAAUCUCAGGCUCAGGCUUUGGUGGUGUUGAUUUAGUUAGGAUCCUCACUGGACAGCUGGGAGGGGAAUUUGUGGUCUGGAUACUUUAACAGUGUUCUCAUCUUAUCCCUGGACCCUGGUAUCCAGUUGUGGAGACCAGGUGCAGAGGAGCAAAUGGGCAGGUCUGGAGGAGGCACCUUCAGGAGCACCUGUGGCACCAGGACUGCCUGGCAGGCACACCUGCCCUGGCAGCCACUGGGAUGGCACUGGCUGCCCCAAAGUCUGUGGGGCAUUGGUGUGUAGGGACCAUGACAUCAAUUUACUUAUUAUCUAUUAUCUGUGCUUAUGUUAAGAUACAUUAGGUUUUAAAAUGCUUUGUAAGAGCUGACUGGACAUGUGAAG